AUUUCUAUUUAUAUAGUUUAAAAUAAAACCUUACAUUUUCAUUGUAAAAUUAAAUUUAUAUUUUAUAA
rnacentral:tRNA from 1 species